rnacentral:rRNA from 1 species
AGCAGCCGCGGUAAUUCCAGCUCCAAUAGCGUAUAUUAAAGUUGUUGCAGUUAAAAAGCUCGUAGUUGAAUUUCGGGGUCAGUAGGUUGGUCAUGCCUUUGGUAUGUACUGGUCUCACUGAUUCCUCCCUCUUGAAGAACUGUAAUGUCAUUAAUUUGGUGUUGCGGGGAAUCAGGACUGUUACUUUGAAAAAAUUAGAGUGUUUAAAGCAGGCUUACGCUUGAAUACAUUAGCAUGGAAUAAUGAAAUAGGACGUUUGAUCCUAUUUUGUUGGUUUCUAGGAUUGACGUAAUGAUUAAUAGGGAUAGUUGGGGGCAUUAGUAUUCAAUUGUCAGAGGUGAAAUUCUUGGAUUUAUUGAAGACUAACUACUGCGAAAGCAUUUGCCAAGGAUGUUUUCAUUAAUCAAGAACGAAAGUUAGGGGAUCGAAGACGAUCAGAUACCGUCGUAGUCUUAACCAUAAACUAUGCCGACUAGGGAUCGGAUGAUGUUAAUUUUUUCAAUGACUCAUUCGGCGCCUC